rnacentral:rRNA from 1 species
CAAUAAGCGGAGGAAAAGAAACCAACAGGGAUUGCCCCAGUAACGGCGAGUGAAGCGGCAACAGCUCAAAUUUGAAAUCUGGCCCUCGGGUCCGAGUUGUAAUUUGUAGAGGAUGCUUUUGGCGAGGUGCCUUCCGAGUUCCCUGGAACGGGACGCCAUAGAGGGUGAGAGCCCCGUCUGGUCGGACACCGAGCCUCUGUAAAGCUCCUUCGACGAGUCGAGUAGUUUGGGAAUGCUGCUCAAAAUGGGAGGUAUAUGUCUUCUAAAGCUAAAUAUUGGCCAGAGACCGAUAGCGCACAAGUAGAGUGAUCGAAAGAUGAAAAGCACUUUGAAAAGAGGGUUAAAAAGUACGUGAAAUUGUUGAAAGGGAAGCGCCUAUGACCAGACUUGAGCCCGGUGAAUCAUCCAGCGUUCUCGCUGGUGCACUUUGCCGGGCCCAGGCCAGCAUCAGUUUGGCGCGGGGGAUAAAGGUGACGGGAAUGUGGCUCCCUCGGGAGUGUUAUAGCCCGCUACGUAAUACCCUGCGCCGGACUGAGGUACGCGCAUUGCAAGGAUGCUGGCGUAAUGGUCAUCAGCGACCCGUCUUGAAACACGGACCAAGGAGUCGUCUUCGUAUGCGAGUGUUCGGGUGUCAAACCCCUACGCGUAAUGAAAGUGAACGCAGGUGAGAGCUUCGGCGCAUCAUCGACCGAUCCUGAUGUUCUCGGAUGGAUUUGAGUAAGAGCAUACGGGGCCGGACCCGAAAGAAGGUGAACUAUGCCUGUAUAGGGUGAAGCCAGAGGAAACUCUGGUGGAGGCUCGCAGCGGUUCUGACGUGCGAAUCGAUCGUCAAAUAUGGGCAUGGGGGCGAAAGACUAAUCGAACCUUCUAGUAGCUGGUUCCGCGA